GCUGGUGUAGCUCAGCAGGUAGAGCAACGCAUUCGUAAUGCGUAGGUCAUCGGUUCAAUUCCGGUCACCAGCU
rnacentral:tRNA from 2 species